rnacentral:rRNA from 1 species
GACGUAGGGCGCGAGCGUUGUCCGGAUUUAUUGGGCGUAAAGAGCUCGUAGGCGGCUUGUUGCGUCGACUGUGAAACCUGCGGCUCAACCGUGUGGUCUGCAGUCGAUACGGGCAGGCUGGAGUUCGGUAGGGGAGACUGGAAUUCCUGGUGUAGCGGUGAAAUGCGCAGAUAUCAGGAGGAACACCGGUGGCGAAGGCGGGAUCUCUG